CCCUUGUCCACUAGAGGCAAGGUGCUCCCUGACCCCUUCUUCCAAAUAUGCUCUUUUGUCUUUGUCUUUUAUUCCCGCGUUUGCCCCCCUUUGUUCAGUCCCCCUAGGUCCAUGUGGGUUACAUAGUGGCACCCCAGAAAAGGGACUUUGAGGACGUGAAUGAAGAAGAUCUGCUGGAGCAGAGGAACUGAAACUGACAAGGCGAACAGGGAGCCCGGGAUGAGUCUGCCAGCAGCGGAUAUAAUUAUGGAGAUGGACAAGCCGUGUGGGUGCCCUCAAGGUGCAUGCGACCACAUAAUGGGAGACUAGAGGAACCCAGGGUGGCCAACCAUGGGCCCAGUCCCUCCGGUACGAGCCAUGAGCCAGCUGAGCCUGAGUGCAAAGAGGGAGAGAAGGCCGACCAGAAUCACAAUGACAUCAACCCCCGUAACCUGGGGACAACUCAAGAAAGCCACACAGGAAACUGAGAAACUACUGGAGUGUCAGGGACAGGCAAAAACCCCUGAUUCCAUGUUCUUGGCCAUGUUAGCCAUAAUGUCCUGUGCGUCUGUAAACUCAGAUGGACUGCCAAUCAAAAAAUGAGAGCUGCUCAGCCUGGCCUUACAUUCUUUCAAUUAAUACAUAAACAGAAAGGGGGAUAUGCAGGGAGCCAAAGGCCCAUGGGACAUGACCAACUCAGCAUUCCACUGGAGGCUAUAUGAUCAAACAGCAAACUGUUUAUCAUGAAUGCAGGAUGUGGGCAAACUCACGACUGCUCUCACUGCCAGAUGGUUUGCUGAAGGCAGUCACUUCCUGGCACUGAGUUCCUUAAGGUUAUCUACUGGGACAUCUAGAGAAUGCAGUCUUGCAAGCCUACUCUGGACCGAGCAGCCGACCCCUUUUCCACGCCACCCUUCUCGCUAUCUCUUUUGCCUAAUAAAUAUGGAGGGCUGUGUAAAGCUCAGGGCCCUUGUCCACUAGAGGCAAGGUGCCCCCUGACCCCUUCUUCCAAAUAUACUCUUUCAUCUUUGUCUUUUAUUCCUGCGUUCGCCCCCUUUGUUCAGUCCCCCUAGGUCCAUGCAGGUUAUACCACUUGUAAGUGAGAACGUGCAAUAUUUAUCUUUCUGUGUCUCACUUGUUUCACUUAAGAUAAUGGCCUCCAGUUCUCUCCAUGUUGCUGCAAAAGACAUGAUUUUAUUCUUUUUAACAGCUGAAUGGUAUUCCAUUGUGCUUAUAUACUACAUUUUCUUUAUCCAAUCACCUGUUGAUGGACACUUAGAUUGAUUCCAUAUCUUUGCCUUUGUGAAUAGUACUUCAAUAAACAUAUGAGUUUAGGUGCUUUUUGAUAUAAUAAUUUCUUUCCUUUUGGGUACAUACCUAGGAGUGGGAUUGCAGGAUCCAACGGUAGCUUUAUGUUUGGUUCUUUAAGAAAUCUCCAUACUAUUUUCUAUAGAGGUUGUACUAAUUUACAUUCCCAUCAACAGUGUUUAGGAGUUCCCUUUUCUCCACAUCCUCACCAACAUCUGCUAUUUUUAACCUUUUAACUAAUAGCCAUUCUGACUGGUGUAAGAUGAUAUUUUAUUGUGGCUUUAGGUUUUUAAAAAAAGUUUUUUUUAUCAUGUUGAGGAAGUUCUCAUAUAUUUCUAGUUUGCUGAGAGUGUUUAUCAUGAAUGAGUGUUGAAUUAUGUUGAAUGCUUUUUUCUGUAUCUAUAUUGAUAUGAUCAUAUGAUUUCUCUCCUUUACUCUGCUGAUGUGAUGGAUUACAUUAAUUGAUUUUCAAAUUUUCAACCAGACUUGUAUAUCUGGAAUGUAUCCCAGUUGGUGGUGGUAUUUAAUUCUUUCUUUUUUUUUUUCCCAAGAUGGAGUCUCACUCUGGCGCGAUCUCGGCUCACUGCAACCUCUGCCUCCUGAGUUCAAGCAAUUCUCUGCCUCAGCCUCCCGAGUAGUUGGGAUUACAGGCACCCACCAAUUUUUUUUUGUAUUUUUGGUAGAGACGAGGUUUCACCAUCUGGGCCAGGCUGGUAUUGAACUCCUGACCUCAUGAUCCACCCAAUUCAGCCUCCCAAAGUGCUGGGAUUACAGGUGUGGGCCACCCCACCCAGCCUAAUUCUUUUAAUACAUUUAGGGGUUUUUUUUGACAAUAUUUUUGAGGCUUUUUGCGUCUAUGUUUAUGAGAGAUACUGGUUUGUAUUUUUCCUUUCUUGUAAUGUGUUUAUCUGGUUUGGUAUUAGGGUAAUGCUGGCCUCAUAGAAUGAGUUCAUAAAUGUUCCUUCUGCUUUUAUUUUCUAGGAGAAAGUGUAGAAAAUUAAGAAAGCUUAAUAACUUCACUGAUUAAGUAGUGUCUCCCUCUGUCACCCAGGCUGGAUACCUUUUGGACAGGUUAUUAAUUAUUGAUUUAAUUUGUUUAAUAGCUAUAGGCCUACCCAUAUUCUGUAUUUCUCCUUGUGUGAGUUUUGGUAGUUUGUAUUUUUCAAGGAAUUGGUCUAUUUCAUCUAAGUUAUCGGAUUUGCAGGCAUAGAGUUGUUCAUUAUUUCUUUAUCAUAUUUCUAAUAUCCAUGGGAUUAGUAGUAAUGACUCCUCUUUUCAUUUCUGCUAUAAGUAAUCUGUGUCUUUUUUUCUGUGUAAGCUGGUCUAGAGAUUAAUCAAUUUUAUUGAUUUGUUUCAAAGAACUAGAUUUUAGUUUCAUUUAUUUUCUCUAUUGAUUUCUUGUUUUCAAUUUUAUUGACAAUGUACAGAAUGGGAGAAAAUAUUUGCAAAUUAUACACAUAAUACCAGAGUAUAUUAAAAAAACUGCUACAACUCAACAAUAAUAAAACUGACAACCUAAUUAAAAGUGGGCAAAGGACUUGUAUAGACUUUUCUCCAAAUAUAUAUUAUACAAAUAGCUAACAAGCACAUAAAAAGGUACUCAAUAUAAUAAGUCACCAGAGAAACACAAAAUCAAAACCACAAUGAGGGCCAGGCAUGGUGGCUCAUCCCUGUAAUCCCAGCACUUUGGGAGGCCAAAGAGAG
rnacentral:lncRNA from 1 species